AUUGAACGCUGGCGGCAGGCCUAACACAUGCAAGUCGAGCGGCAGCGGGAAAGUAGCUUGCUACUCUUGCCGGCGAGCGGCGGACGGGUGAGUAAUGCCUGGGAAAUUGCCCAGUCGAGGGGGAUAACAGUUGGAAACGACUGCUAAUACCGCAUACGCCCUACGGGGGAAAGGAGGGGACCUUCGGGCCUUGCGCGAUUGGAUAUGCCCAGGUGGGAUUAGCUAGUUGGUGAGGUAAUGGCUCACCAAGGUGACGAUCCCUAGCUGGUCUGAGAGGAUGAUCAGCCACACUGGAACUGAGACACGGUCCAGACUCCUACGGGAGGCAGCAGUGGGGAAUAUUGCACAAUGGGGGAAACCCUGAUGCAGCCAUGCCGCGUGUGUGAAGAAGGCCUUCGGGUUGUAAAGCACUUUCAGCGAGGAGGAAAGGUUGAUGCCUAAUACGUAUCAACUGUGACGUUACUCGCAGAAGAAGCACCGGCUAACUCCGUGCCAGCCGCCGCGGUAACAC
rnacentral:rRNA from 1 species